rnacentral:rRNA from 1 species
GUAAGGAGCUGGUGGGCCAUUUUUGGUAAGCAGAACUGGCGAUGAGGGAUGAACCUAACGCUUAGAUAAGGUGCCUAAAUCUGCAUUCAUGAGAUCCCACAAAAGGUGUUGGUUCAUUUAGACAGCAGGACGGUGGCCCUGGAAGUCGGAAUCCGCUAAGGAGUGUGUAACAACUCACCUGCCGAAAGAAC